CCAGUCCUAUCUGGAACUCAGAGAUCCACCUGCUCCUGCCUCUGACGUACUGCAAUCAAAGGUUGAAAGUAGGCUUUGAAGUUCGGUCUGUUGUCUGUACCGAAACAAACUUCCUUGAACAUCUGGUGAUAAUGCUGCUUAGGCUGUACUAUGUGGCAUCAGCGACUUCUUUACCCUAACUGCAGGGCAUAAUGCAUUGCUGGGGCUGCAGGUUCUCCGAGGAUGGUGCCCACUGAGACAGCCAGCUCUAGUUCAUUCCCGCG